ensembl:rRNA 5S_rRNA 5S ribosomal RNA
GCCAGCAGCCAUAUCACUCUGCAACUCACAACUGGCAACCCACUGAAGCUAAGCAGGUGUGAGCCUGGUCAGUACCUGGAUGGGAGACCUCCUGGGAAAAACUAAGGUUGCUGCUGGAA